rnacentral:rRNA from 1 species
CCCUUAGAGUUUGAUCCUGGCUCAGGAUGAACGCUAGCUACAGGCUUAACACAUGCAAGUCGAGGGGCAGCAUGGUCUUAGCUUGCUAAGGCUGAUGGCGACCGGCGCACGGGUGAGUAACACGUAUCCAACCUGCCGUCUACUCUUGGCCAGCCUUCUGAAAGGAAGAUUAAUCCAGGAUGGGAUCAUGAGUUCACAUGUCCGCAUGAUUAAAGGUAUUUUCCGGUAGACGAUGGGGAUGCGUUCCAUUAGAUAGUAGGCGGGGUAACGGCCCACCUAGUCAACGAUGGAUAGGGGUUCUGAGAGGAAGGUCCCCCACAUUGGAACUGAGACACGGUCCAAACUCCUACGGGAGGCAGCAGUGAGGAAUAUUGGUCAAUGGGCGAUGGCCUGAACCAGCCAAGUAGCGUGAAGGAUGACUGCCCUAUGGGUUGUAAACUUCUUUUAUAAAGGAAUAAAGUCGGGUAUGCAUACCCGUU